UGACGGAUACAUUUCAUGAAAGACCCGGAAGCAGGUUUGUCGACGUUUUGGAAUCACACAAAGGCAGUGGCUGUUGGAUUUGUACCAUAAGGAACCUGUCAUUUUUAUUGACGAAGCCCGAGAGCAAUUCCAACAGCACUUCAACUUGUCGAUCAGCGCUGCUUCGGUUAUUCGAAUUUUAAGAACAGCUGGAUUGACCUGGAAGAAGAUCGAGAGAAGGGCCAUCCAGAUAAGGAAGGCAAAUAUCCACAGAGUUGGAUACCUUUAAAUGGGAGCUUCAUCAAAUUGUUUUCAUUGAUGAAGUUUCCGUUGACUCGCGGGACAUUCUGCGGAACUACGGAUAUGGCAUUAAAGGCAAAAAGGUCAUCUAUCGCGGUGAAUUUAGAAGACGCCCACGAGAAUCAUAUUUAUGUUUUCUUGGGCAAACAGGGUUAUUUGAGUCUUACAGGACUGAAGGAACUUUUACCCGACAAAAGUUCUUUAAAUAUAUUCAAAAAUUCGCACUUGAGAGUGGAAAAGUAAAUACGUAUCCAGGGCUGAAUUCCAUAUGGAUUAUGGAUGGUGCCAGGAUACAUUGCGAUAAGAACAUCAUAAUAUACCUUCGAUCGAUGGGUAUCCUACCUAUCUUCUUACCGGCGUAUUGUCCAAUGUUUAAUCCAAUAGAGGUGAUCUUCGGACUUUGUAAGAAGCAUCUAAAGCGAAACUAUAUCGAGAACAGUAAGAAGUCGCUUUCAAUAACGAUUACCGAAAAAUUCAUGAAUUUUAGAAACUAUUCCUGUACCCAUCUUUUCCAUGAGUGUGGGUAUAUUUCGGGGAAUAAUUUUGACCCAAAUAUUGGCCUCGAUCAGCCACUGAACGCUUUCGGAUGUAAUAAUAAUUAAUAAAUAAAAUACAGAUUUUAUAAUUAAAGAUAUGUUCUGUCAAACUUUAUCACGAUUAAGCGUGAUCAACAUCCAUUACGUCACCAACUUCUGCUGCUACUCUUUGACUAACUGAUGACUCUCGUGGCGCCAUACAGGUCUGCAUGCCUUUCAACAUGUCUCGACACAUGUUCAGUUUUUCGUUUAAGCCUUGUGCAAGCAGUUUUACCUGAAAAGCAAAACUCAUCAGCUCUUCCGUUUUAUCACACAAUACUUUGAUGUUCGGAGCAAGAUUGUCCACAAUGUUUUGUGCAACUACUAAACCUUCACGUACAGAUUCUGGUCGGCUUUCUUCAGAGGACGGAAAAAAAGAAAACAUUCCCCUAAGUUCAGCUGGGAGCAACUGUGUCACUAAACCAGCCUGAAGAUGAGCUGGGGAUGCAUGAAUCCAGUUGGCCCACUGAAUCCAGCCCGAGUCGUGGCUUCUCAAAUGGGGAUUCUUCUCUUUUAAUUCCUGAAUCAGCUCAUCAAGGUUUACGUUGCAGGGUGCUCCAGCCCAGUCCGUUUCACUGGGUUGUAGAAGUCUUUUGUUGACUUCCUCCCAGAUAGCAACAGAACUAAUGGAUUGCGAAUAGGCAAAGGCAUACACAUUCAUCACCUUCACAAUGUAGCAUAAUUUUCCCC